AACGAACGCUGGCGGCAUGCCUAACACAUGCAAGUCGAACGGGAUCCGGACUUCGGUCCGGUGAGAGUGGCGGACGGGUGAGUAACACGUGGGAACCUGCCUUUUGGUUCGGGAUAACCGCGGGAAACUGCGGCUAAUACCGAAUAUUCCCCUCAGGGGGGAAAGAUUUAUCGCUCCAAGAUCGGCCCGCGUAAGAUUAGGUAGUUGGUGGGGUAAUGGCCUACCAAGCCUACGAUCUUUAGCUGGUCUGAGAGGACGACCAGCCACACUGGAACUGAAACACGGUCCAGACUCCUACGGGAGGCAGCAGUGGGGAAUAUUGGACAAUGGGCGAAAGCCUGAUCCAGCCAUGCCGCGUGAAUGAUGAAGGCCUUAGGUUGUAAAAUUCUUUCGUCGGGACGAUAAUGACGGUACCCGAAGAAGAAGACUCCGGCUAACUUCGUGCCAGCAGCCGCGGUAAU
rnacentral:rRNA from 1 species